AGAAGCGACUAGACUUAAAAGUAAAAUCGAGUCUCUUUCCCCUCGCCCGCAACUAUUUUUUUAAAAAAUUAAUAUAAGUUAAUUCUUUAAAAAGUCUGGCGCCGGAAACGUUUUGUGUGCGUUGUAAUUGUAAAAAAAAAUACUGCGGUCAAGUUUGGGAGGAAAGAUUUCGAGAAAAUUCCACGAACCAUUUUGUCCAAAUUCCUGCUGGAAAAAUGACUUGUGGAGUUUUUGUGUCGUCCCCCCCCCUUGCAGUGUUUACAGAUAUUCUUCUAUUGCCACAUUGCUAACGUGCGUUUCUGCAAAGGGCGCUUACUUUUUAAAAAAAAGUGCUUUCGUGUUCAUUUGAAUAGCAGACUUUCCAGUGGUUGCAUUUAAAAAAAAAAUCUCUGGCCUUCCCUCCGCUUUUUUAGUGGAGUAUUAUGUCGGAUAGUUUUCCCGACCGAGUCGAGUUUUGUUCCUUAACUUUUGGCGCGAUUCGAGUUGGGGAAAGGGACACAUGCAUCGGAACGUGACUGACACCGCGAUUUGCAUCUGGGAGGGGAAGGACGUCGGCUUGAAUUCGCCCCCCCCCCCCCCCGCGCAGUCUUUCAAGUUGUGGAAGAAAGGGCUGGGUGGUGGACCGAAGCGGAGCUGGCUCCUCUCCAGUCAGCAGGCCGGAUGGGUCAGGUGCUGGCCACGCCCGUGGCAGUUUGAACAGAGAUCUUUUCAGGUGAACUUUGCAUCUUGGAAGCGCCCUCAGCUUUGCCUACCCAGGAGAAAGUUGUUUCUAGCAUCAAGUUAAAUAUUGUUCUGCCGUACUUACCUUAACUAUGCACAAAUGAUGGUACCUGAACUGUGAAAUGGAGCCUCUAGAGCAGUGAUGAUGAACCUCUUCAGCAGCGAGUGCUCAAAACAGAACACACACACCAGAAACCCAAAUAUACACACCAGCCAGCUGGUCUUCAGGUUUCUGGUGUGCGCAAAGAGAAGCUGGUCGGUCUGAAUGCACGUUCCCACAGAGAGGGCUUUGCGUGCCACCUUUGGCAUGCGUGCCAUAGAUUUGCCAUCAUGGCUCUAGAGGAUAUGUGCAAAUCUGCUACUAGUAUCAAAUGACAGAAAAGUUAUGCUUUGAUAGAAAAAUUUGGGGAUACAAUGCUGUUUCUGCAACAUUCUCUGAAUUAUCAUAUAAAUAUUCCAAAUUAUUUUA